rnacentral:rRNA from 1 species
UCCUACGGGGGGCAGCAGUGGGGAAUAUUGCACAAUGGGGGGAACCCUGAUGCAGCGACGCCGCGUGAAGGAAGAAGUAUUUCGGUAUGUAAACUUCUAUCAGCAGGGAAGAAAAAAGACGGUACCUGACUAAGAAGCCCCGGCUAACUACGUGCCAGCAGCCGCGGUAAUACGUAGGGGGCAAGCGUUAUCCGGAUUUACUGGGUGUAAAGGGUGCGUAGGUGGCAGGGCAAGUCAGAUGUGCAAGCCCGGGGCUCAACCCCGGUACUGCAUUUGAAACUGUCCAGCUGGAGUGCAGGCGAGGG